UGGCGAAAGGGUGAGUAAUACAUAAAUAAUCUGCCCAUGGACUGGGAUAAAUAUUAUAAUAGAUAGAUAAUACAGGAUAGGUGAUUUGAAGGCAUCUUCGAAUCAUUAAAGUAGGGUCACUACACCAAUGGAUGAGUUUAUGGCGCAUUAGUUAGUUGGCGGGGUAACGGCCCACCAAGACGAUGAUGCGUAGCCGACCUGAGAGGGUGACCGGCCACACUGGGACUGAGACACGGCCCAGACUCCUACGGGAGGCAGCAGUAGGGAAUUUUCGGCAAUGGGCGCAAGCCUGACCGAGCAACGCCGCGUGAGUGAUUAAGGCCUUCGGGUUGUAAAGCUCUGUUGUAAGGGAAGAACAUUCAGGAUAGGAAAUGAUCUUGAACUGACGGUACCUUACCAGAAAGCCACGGCUAACUACGUGCCAGCAGCCGCGGUAAUACGUAGGUGGCAAGCGUUAUCCGGAAUUAUUGGGCGUAAAGGGUGCGUAGGCGGUUUAUUAAGUCUAUGGUGAAAGUGCGGGGCUCAACCCCGUAUGGCCAUAGAAACUGAUAGACUUGAGUGCAGGAGAGGGCAAUGGAAUUCCAUGUGUAGCGGUAAAAUGCGUAGAUAUAUGGAGGAACACCAGUGGCGAAGGCGGUUGCCUGGCCUGUAACUGACGCUGAGGCACGAAAGCGUGGGGAGCAAAUAGGAUUAGAUACCCUAGUAGUCCACGCUGUAAACGAUGAAUACUAAGUGUUGGAGAAAUUCAGUGCUGCAGUUAACGCAAUAA
rnacentral:rRNA from 1 species